UUAUUGGAGAGUUUGAUCCUGGCUCAGGACGAACGCUGGCGGCGUGCCUAACACAUGCAAGUCGAACGGAGAGUUAGCAAUAACUCUUAGUGGCGAACGGGUGAGUAACGCGUAGACAACCUGCCUCUAAACUGGGGACAACACCGCGAAAGUGGUGCUAAUACCGAAUGUGGUAACUUGGCUGCAUGGCUAAGUUAAGAAAGAUGGCCUCUACAUGUAAGCUAUCGUUUAGAGAUGGGUCUGCGUCUGAUUAGCUAGUUGGUGAGGUAACGGCUCACCAAGGCGACGAUCAGUAGCCGGUCUGAGAGGAUGAACGGCCACACUGGGACUGAGACAC
rnacentral:ncRNA from 1 species